UACGUAGGGGGCAAGCGUUGUCCGGAUUUAUUGGGCGUAAAGAGCUCGUAGGUGGUUCGGUAAGUCGGAUGUGAAAUCUCCAGGCUCAACCUGGAGGGGUCAUUCGAUACUGCCGUGACUAGAGGUCGGUAGGGGAGUGUGGAAUUCCUGGUGUAGCGGUGAAAUGCGUAGAUAUCAGGAGGAACACCGGUGGUGUAGACGGCUUACUGGACCACGACUGACACUGAGGCACGAAAGCGUGGGUAGCAAACAGG
rnacentral:rRNA from 1 species